AUCAAAAGAAAAUAAAAAAAAAUGAAAUAAAAUUCAAUUAAUUCUUUUUUUUUAUGCAUUUUCUACAACAUUUUCUACAACACCUACAACAACUUCUAUAAGGCCUUAUUAUAACAUCCUACGCAAGUAAUCCGGUUUGUGCAUUAGAUAAACCCUCUGCGGGAAGACCUCCGUAAGGCCAUUUUAAACUGUUUGUCACAAGCUAUUAGCUUUUGGAUAACCUGUGAAGGAAAGUCCUAUGCAAUUUCGGUAAAAUGCGCCAAAAUGGUUUGCAUAAGACCUGUCCUUGUUAUGAAAGCCAAAAAAUAGCUUGCAUUGACCCUUAUGAAAGCUAAAUUGUUACUUGGGUUGGGGGUUCACAGCUGCACUUUUGGCAACUGUGUCAGCGAGUUCGUUUCCUUUUAUUCCCGCGUGUCCGGGGAUCCAAAAUAGUUUGAGAGAUUUUUUGUUUGCUUUGAGUCUGUCUCUUAUGUGACGAAUGAUUCGGUGAUUGUUGUUAAUGUUUUGUAUGGCAUUGAUGCUCGACAGACUGUCAGUGAAUAUUAUUCUUUUUUCUGCACUCUUCAAUUUAAUUGCAGAAAGUAUUGCAGCUGCUUCUGCACAGAAAACUGAUGAAAAGUCUGGUAGGAGGAAUUUGUAAAGGGUAUUUCCGGUAUCGUCAACUACAGCAAAGGCCGUGCAGUGUUGGUUUUUCUUACCGUCUGUGUAUAUGUAUAUAAAGCUCCAAUUAUCUCUUUUGUAGGGGGAUGAUUUUUUGAAGAAAUAAAGGGCCCAACCCAUAGAACCCGUUGCGUCCGUUCCGUCGAAGUUUUCAACUGACAGCUCGAUAAAAUACAUACGUUCUUAUGGGAAGCAACCCAAAGCGACGGAUCGGACGGAGACGGAUGGAUUUGACGGAAGAAGUAGAAAUUUUCCUCCACGCCAUCCAGAACGAGUGAAACGAAUCUUAUGUUUAGUAGAGAUUACAAUACUUGAGUGUGAUCCACAUUUCACAGACUUGUAGUGUCUGCACCCUCCGACCACUUGCAGAUGUGUUCGCUCUAAUCCUAGACAAAAACAACAUUCAACAAUUCUAUGUUGAGUAUAAAAAUGACGUCAGAGACUCCUUGCUCGCCACACUAUUGGAUGCAGUCUGUUCGAGUGGCAAUCAAGAUGUGCAAGUUCGUAUUACAAAUACAUUGCGAGGAAAGCAUUUUGUUCCCCUCAACAGUUGUGUGCAUGAAGCGACUCUCCUUCGUUUAGUGAUAAAGAAUUUCCAAAAUUCCUGACGUAGAUGUAAGAUUUAAGAGAAAUUCAACGCCAACAUUCCUCAUAGAAGUCUGAAGUAAAGUGUCACACAAGACGUUCAUGUUUUGAUAUACAAUUCGAAUGAAUAAAUCUAAAUCUCUAACCAAAGUUUUAA